UCCGAGUUGUCCCCGGCAGUCCUCUUAGAGUCCCCGGCAUUACCCGCUGGCAACUAAGAGCAGGGGUUGCGCUCGUUGCGGCACUUAACCCAACACCUCACGGCACGAGCUGACGACAGCCAUGCAGCAUCUGUGCGCGCUCCCUUGCGGGUCCUCCCCCUUUCGGAGUCGUACCACGCGCAUGUCAAGCCCAGGUAAGGUUCUUCGCGUUGCGUCGAAUUAAACCACAUGCUCCACCGCUUGUGCGGGCCCCCGUCAAUUCGUUUGAGUUUCAGCCUUGCGACCAUACUCCCCAGGCGGGGCACUUACUGCGUUAGCUGCGGCACGGAACCCGUGGAAUGGAUCCCACACCUAGCGCCCAACGUUUACGGUGUGGACUAC
rnacentral:misc_RNA from 1 species